rnacentral:rRNA from 1 species
ACACGACUACAUUAGAUACCCCGGUAGUCCCAGCCGUAAACUAUGCUCGCUAGGUGUCAGGCAUGGCGCGACCGUGUCUGGUGCCGCAGGGAAGCCGUGAAGCGAGCCACCUGGGAAGUACGGCCGCAAGGCUGAAACUUAAAGGAAUUGGCGGGGAGCACCACAACGGGUGGAGCCUGCGGUUUAAUUGGACUCAACGCCGGGAAGCUCACCGGAUAAGACAGCGGAAUGAUUGCCGGGCUGAAGACUCUGCAUGACUAGCUG